rnacentral:rRNA from 1 species
GUGGGGAAUUUUGGACAAUGGGCGAAAGCCUGAUCCAGCCAUGCCGCGUGCAGGAUGAAGGCCUUCGGGUUGUAAACUGCUUUUGUACGGAACGAAAAGACUCCUUCAAAUAAAGGGGGUCCAUGACGGUACCGUAAGAAUAAGCACCGGCUAACUACGUGCCAGCAGCCGCGGUAAUACGUAGGGUGCAAGCGUUAAUCGGAAUUACUGGGCGUAAAGCGUGCGCAGGCGGUUAUAUAAGACAGAUGUGAAAUCCCCGGGCUCAACCUGGGAACUGCAUUUGUGACUGUAUAGCUAGAGUACGGUAGAGGGGGAUGGAAUUCCGCGUGUAGCAGUGAAAUGCGUAGAUAUGCGGAGGAACACCGAUGGCGAAGGCAAUCCCCUGGACCUGUACUGACGCUCAUGCACGAAAGCGUGGGGAGCAAACAGGAUUAGAUACCCUUGUAGUCC